CCCCUCUCUGAAGGAGAGCUAACCUCCUAUGUGCUCAAAGGGCUGGACAUCGAAUAUAACCCGGUGAUCUCAGCCCUGGCUGCACAUAUCGAGCCGGUGACCGUCUAGGAGCUUUACAACCAAUUGCUAAGCUUUGAAG
rfam:Triticum urartu cultivar G1812 contig938603, whole genome shotgun sequence.